UCCACGCCGUAAACGAUGUCAACUAGCCGUUGGGUCUAUUUAUAGACUUAGUGGCGGAGCUAACGUAUUAAGUUGACCGCCUGGGGAGUACGGCCGCAAGGUUAAAACUCAAAUGAAUUGACGGGGGCCCGCACAAGCGGUGGAGCAUGUGGUUUAAUUCGACGCAACGCGAAGAACCUUACCAGGUCUUGACAUCCUAGAAACUUAGCAGAGAUGCUUUGGUGCCUUCGGGA
rnacentral:rRNA from 1 species